GAAAGUCCAAGAAUCUUCAAGUUAAUUGGAUGUCCAGCUGCAUCUACAGCCACGAACAAAGUCAUGCAUCACCCACUGAGCAUUCAUUGAGCUGCUGCCUCAGAGAUUCUGGACACUUCAGUGGGCUACAGCAUCAAAUGGGAGAAUAGCCCCUCUCUAAAAGGGAAGCCAAUGAAGCAAGAAUGCUAAAAUGACACCAAAAGCAUGCUCAGACUAUGUGAGGA